rnacentral:rRNA from 1 species
UACGUAGGGUGCAAGCGUUAAUCGGAAUUACUGGGCGUAAAGCGUGCGCAGGCGGUUUUGCAAGACAGAUGUGAAAUCCCCGGGCUUAACCUGGGAACCGCAUUUGUGACUGCAUAGCUGGAGUACGGCAGAGGGGGAUGGAAUUCCGCGUGUAGCAGUGAAAUGCGUAGAUAUGCGGAGGAGCACCGAUGGCGAAGGCAGUCCCCUGGGCCUGUACUGACGCUCAUGCACGAAAGCGUGGGGAGCAAACAGG